CCUACGGGAGGCAGCAGUGGGGAAUAUUGGACAAUGGGGGGAACCCUGAUCCAGCCAUGCCGCGUGUGUGAAGAAGGCCCUCGGGUUGUAAAGCACUUUCAGUGAGGAAGAACGCCUGGUGGUUAAUACCCAUCAGGAAAGACAUCACUCACAGAAGAAGCACCGGCUAACUCCGUGCCAGCAGCCGCGGUAAUACGGAGGGUGCGAGCGUUAAUCGGAAUUACUGGGCGUAAGGCGCGCGUAGGUGGCUUGAUAAGCCGGUUGUGAAAGCCCCGGGCUCAACCUGGGAACGGCAUCCGGAACUGUCAAGCUAGAGUGCAGGAGAGGAAGGUAGAAUUCCCGGUGUAGCGGUGAAAUGCGUAGAGAUCGGGAGGAAUACCAGUGGCGAAGGCGGCCUUCUGGACUGACACUGACACUGAGGUGCGAAAGCGUGGGUAGCAAACAGGAUUAGAUACCCUUGUAGUC
rnacentral:rRNA from 1 species